UACGUAGGGUGCGAGCGUUAAUCGGAAUUACUGGGCGUAAAGCGUGCGCAGGCGGUUUUGUAAGCCAGAUGUGAAAUCCCCGGGCUUAACCUGGGAAUGGCAUUUGGGACUGCAAGGCUGGAGUGCGGCAGAGGAGACUGGAAUUCCUGGUGUAGCAGUGAAAUGCGUAGAUAUCAGGAGGAACACCGAUGGCGAAGGCAGGUCUCUGGGCUGACACUGACGCUCAUGCACGAAAGCGUGGGAGCGAACA
rnacentral:rRNA from 1 species